AGCGAACGCUGGCGGCAGGCCUAAUACAUGCAAGUCGAACGGCUCUUCGGAGCAGUGGCGGACGGGUGAGUAACGCGUGGGAAUGUGCCCUUAGGUACGGAACAACACAGGGAAACUUGUGCUAAUACCGUAUGUGCCCUUCGGGGGAAAGAUUUAUCGCCUUUGGAGCAGCCCGCGUUGGAUUAGGUAGUUGGUGAGGUAAAGGCUCCCCAAGCCGAAGAGCCAUAGCUGGUCUGAGAGGAUGACCAGCCACACUGGGACUGAGACACGGCCCAGACUCCUACGGGAGGCAGCAGUAGGGAAUCUUGCGCAAUGGGCGAAAGCCUGACGCAGCCAUGCCGCGUGUAUGAUGAAGGUCUUAGGAUUGUAAAAUACUUUCACCGGGGAAGAUAAUGACGGUACCCGGAGAAGAAGCCCCGGCUAACUUCGUGCCAGCAGCCGCCGUAA
rnacentral:rRNA from 1 species